AGCGACUGUGCAGGUUACCGCGGCUGCUGGCACGGAGUUAGCCGGUGCUUCUUCUGUGAGUGAUGUCCUUCCUGCCGGUUAUUGACCCGCAGGCCUUCUUCCUCACUGAAAGUGCUUUACAACCCGAAGGCCUUCUUCACACACGCGGCAUGGCUGGAUCAGGGUUGCCCCCAUUGUCCAAUAUUCCCCACUGCUGCCUCCCGUAGGAGUCUGGGCCGUGUCUCAGUCCCAGUGUGGCUGAUCAUCCUCUCAGACCAGCUACGGAUCGUCGCCUUGGUGAGCCGUUACCUCACCAACCAGCUAAUCCGACAUAGGCUCAUCCGAUAGCGCGAGGCCCGAAGGUCCCCCGCUUUCCCCCGGUAGGGCGUAUGCGGUAUUAGCCUGGGUUUCCCCAGGUUAUCCCCCGACUACCGGGCAGAUUCCUAUGCAUUACUCACCCGUCCGCCGCUCGCCACCAGGGAGCAAGCUCCCCGUGCUGCCGCUCGACUUGCAUGUGUU
rnacentral:rRNA from 1 species